CCUGUAAUAACACUCUUUUCAAACAGAAUGUUCUUGCAUUUAGAAGAAUGUAUUUGGUCUCUUGGUGGUGAAACAUGGUUUGUGUUGACGACGCAGAACUCUGUGUGGCAGAGGGAACUUGAUUUUUGAAUCACGGAAUUGCUUGACUGCAGGUCUACGGCACUUGCUAGCAGCAAUCUCCUCAACCUUCAUGAUCUGAACAGAGUGAGUACGGGCACGAUGGUGAGCACCCAUAUCAUGGUAGCACUGUGUAACAGCACCAGCAGUUGUCAAGUCCCUGUAUUCCAUGUACAUAUUGUGGGUUCCACUACGAGAAUCAUAGCAUAGCCAGAUACCAAAGUUUUUCACCCGCAAAGGGGACUUUUCAAAUACCUGUCCACA